CCCUUAGAUGUUCUGGGCUGCACGCGCGCGACACUGAUGCGCUCAAGGAGUUUACGACCUUGCCUGGAAAGGUUGGGUAAUCUUCUUAAAAAACAUCGUGAUGGAGCUAGAUUAUUGCAACUAUUAAUCUUCAACGAGGAAUUCCUAGUAAGCGCGAGUCAUCAGCUCGUGCUGAUUACGUCCCUGCCCUUUGUACACACCGCCCGUCGCUCCUACCGAUUGCGUGCUACUGAAUAAUUCGGACUGCAGCAACGUUCGGUUCCUGAAUGUCGCAGUGGAAAGUUUAGUGAACCUUAUCACUUAGAGAAAAAAAAGUCGUAACA
rnacentral:rRNA from 1 species